rnacentral:rRNA from 1 species
UACGGGGGGGGCAAGCGUUGUUCGGAAUUACUGGGCGUAAAGGGCUCGUAGGCGGCCAACUAAGUCAGACGUGAAAUCCCUCGGCUUAACCGGGAACUGCGUCUGAUACUGGAUGGCUUGAGUGUGGGAGAGGGAUGCGGAAUUCCAGGUGGUAGCGGUGGAAUGCGUAGAGAUCAGGAAGAACACCGGUGACGAAGGCGGCUUGCUGGGCCAUUUCUGACGCUGGAGGCGCGAAAGCGUGGGGAGCAAACAGG